CGGACGGGUGAGUAAUGCUUGGGAAUCUGGCUUAUGGAGGGGGAUAACUACGGGAAACUGUAGCUAAUACCGCGUAGUAUCGGAAGAUGAAAGUGUGGGACCGCAAGGCCACAUGCCAUAAGAUGAGCCCAAGUGGGAUUAGGUAGUUGGUUAGGUAAAGGCUGACCAAGCCGACGAUCUCUAGCUGGUCUGAGAGGAUGACCAGCCACACUGGAACUGAGACACGGUCCAGACUCCUACGGGAGGCAGCAGUGGGGAAUAUUGCACAAUGGGGGGAACCCUGAUGCAGCCAUGCCGCGUGAAUGAAGAAGGCCUUCGGGUUGUAAAGUUCUUUCGGUGAUGAGGAAGGCAAGUAAGUGAAUAGCUUGCUUGAUUGACGUUAGUCACAGAAGAAGCACCGGCUAACUCCGUGCCAGCAGCCGCGGUAAUACGGAGGGUGCGAGCGUUAAUCGGAAUAACUGGGCGUAAAGGGCACGCAGGCGGUGACUUAAGUGAGAUGUGAAAGCCCCGAGCUUAACUUGGGAAUUGCAUUUCAUACUGGGUCGCUAGAGUACUUUAGGGAGGGGUAGAAUUCCACGUGUAGCGGUGAAAUGCGUAGAGAUGUGGAGGAAUACCGAAGGCGAAGGCAGCCCCUUGGGAAUGUACUGACGCUCAUGUGCGAAAGCGUGGGGAGCAAACAGGAUUAGAUACCCUGGUAGUCCACGCUGUAAACGCUGUC
rnacentral:rRNA from 1 species